GGUUCAUUGUGAACAUGAUUAAAAAGGGAAAUCGGUGUAAGUCCAAUACUGUCCCGCAGCUGUAAAUAGCAAAAUAUCAUACUAAUACUUGUGGGUUUUUCACAUUAAUAUAUAUAUAUAUCAGUAUGAACUAGCAAACAAAAGCCACUGCUUCCGUAAAGAGAAAUGGGAAGGCGAUUUGCUAGGGUUUAGCUAUAAGUCAGAAUACCUGCCUAUGUUAUUAA
rnacentral:ncRNA from 1 species